rnacentral:rRNA from 1 species
GCUCUGCAAAGAGUGACAGCGUGCCUUUUGCAUAAUGAACCUACGAGUUACCGUGUCCGGCAAGGUUAAGGGUCAUGAGACCUGGAUCCGAAGCGAAAGCGAGUCUGAAGAGGGCGUCAAGUCGGCUGCGGUAGACGCGAAACCAAGUGAUCUACCCUUGGCCAGGAUGAAGUCUGGGUAACACCAGAUGGAGGUCCGCACCAAUAAGCGUUGAAAAGCUUCUGGAUGAGCUGAG